UCGACUUAUUUGAAUGGAUCAGUAGAGAUAAUUUCGUAAAAUUCAUUUUUUUGAUUAAAGACAUGGAUUAGAUUCUUAAAAACUGUUUGGAGUUAAGAUCCUUUUUCUUAGGGACGCUAUAACUGACCCAAGUAUAAGCAUGCCUUUAUGUUUCAAGACGUGUAUUGCGAAUCUCUUCUUUAUCUUUUAAACAAGACGCUUCUUUUGACUUUUUUUGAGUAAUCUUUUUCUUUUUGUUUCCGUAUAGUGAAAAAAUGGUGAAUAUACCUAAAACAAGAAUGACUUUGUGUCCUGGGCGUCCAUGCAAAAAACAUACGUUACACAAAGUGACACAAUACAAAAAAGGAAAAGAUUCUACAAAGGUUCAAGGAAAGCGCCGUUACGACAUGAAACAAAAGGGUUUCGGUGGUCAAACAAAACCUAUCUUUCAUAAGAAGGCCAAAACUACAAAAAAGGUUGUUCUCAAGUUAGAAUGUACAAAGUGUAAAAGAAAGAGAUUAUUGCCUAUUAAGCGUUGUAAACAUUUCGAACUUGGUGGAGACAAAAAAAAUAAGAGUGGACCCACUUAUUAGAUGUAUGUUCAACAUGUAGGUCCUAUGUCGAGUUCAACGUGUUAGUUUUUUUUUUCGUGACCUUUUUAAUGCUAUGUUUUUUGUAAACUUUACAUUAUUAAGUUUAUUUUAAAAAAUCAUAAAUGUUAAACUUUCUAGAAUAACCAUAUACAAAA